CUCUCUAUUCGACUACCUUCUCUCUCAUUUCUCUCCCCAUUCGCCAGCCAUCACCAUCUCGCUCACUCUCAUUACUCAACCUGCGCCUCACACCGACAGUGCAACAACCUACUCUUGCGAGAUGUGCGGUCGCACGGCUUCUCGCUCACUUGGUUGAAUCUCUCUUAUUCUUCUCUCAAUUUGAGGAUUCAGAUUUUAAUAAACAUGGACUACUCUUCUCAUUGCCAAUUGGUUUUGAGAUGGAACCCACGAAUGUUAAUAGAUGGAAGAUGCUAUACAGUCAUUAUUUAUACUAAGAAUUGAGUAAACGCGGCAUGACUGGAGGAAGAUAAUUUGUGGCAAGAAUUUGUUGUAGUGUGUAAAGAUGAUUACGAAUGCAAAGUUCCAUGAUCUUUGGAUAUUAAAGGCGACAUGUUACAAUGAUUCAGGCUUGUUGAGUUUUGGGGGUAAGGUUGCUGUCGAGUUGCUAGAAAAGUUGAGACUACCUUGUUAGUCUUUACCCUUGCACGGUAAGUUUGCUGAUUUUGUGGAACAUUGUGGAGGUGGCCCUUUGACAAAAUUAUUUGCGUUCGAUAAAUGUCUGUGCAAAUUUUUACAGGUACUUCAAUUUUGAUUUGACCUUCUUAGCAAUUGUUCAUAGGCUCCUUCUUGUUUUGGUCUUUGCUAGAUACUUAUGAUUUCAGAACUUUAAUCGUGGGCUUUUGGUUUUUUAGGUUUUUGAGAUUGAAACAGAAGUUGGACCUUAUAAUAUUCAUUUGUAAUAUAUCAAAAGUGAUUGAUUUGUAUUGUUUAAUUUUUUUUUACUGUUAGAUGUAAUUGAGUUGAAAUUGAUUAAAUUAGACAACGAGGAAGCAGUUUUUUGUUUUUUUCUUCACGUUUGAUUUGUCAGCCUAAGAACACUUUUCACAAAUAAAUUAUUUAAUAACGCUCUUCUUCUAGCAGGUUUGGGACAAGCAUAAUCUUCUUCAAGAAUAAGAGAAAGAAAUAACAACUUGCAGUUUAGUCAUACAUUUCUUCCUUUCUUAUUGUGCAUUGAUUACAUUUUGCUUCCAUAUAAUAAUGGAUAAACAUGAAGCUUAGAUUUAUGAAGCAUUCAAAUUAUGAACAAUUUGGUGAAUUUAUGUUUUUGUUUCGUGAAGCAAAGUUGCUCUAACAAUGGAUAAAUUUGGCUUAAAGAAUCAUUUGUGUUUGUUGUCAGGUUCUAAUCACACUUGUUCGGUUGGGAUCUUUGUUUGGUUGUUAUGUUGGUUGUUUUAUCAGAUUAUCGAGUAAGCUGAUAAGGAAGACUAUGAAUGUUGAUGAUUUGUAGUGCUGUAAAAGAUUAAUGUCUUUCACAAUCCCAAAGACAUCGACAAUUAGGAAUGCAACUAAUUGAUGGAUGAGCUUCGUUGUCGGGGUUGGUGUGUAGGGAACAUGUUUAAUUCUGUAAUUUUGUAAUUUGUGUUUGAGAAUACUAGUAUAUUCUAAAUUAAUAUAUUAGCUUCCGUGUUCAUGUUUAA